GGGGAUUUAGCUCAGUGGUAGAGCGCUUGCCUAGCAAGCACAAGGCCCUGGGUUCAGUCCCCAGCUCCCA
rnacentral:tRNA from 1 species